rnacentral:lncRNA from 1 species
UCUCGGCUGCCGAGCUAUGUGAUUCUGCAUAACCACAAGAAUAUAGUGGUAAGUUGAAUUCAGAGUUUGGCAGAAAAGAAUAUAUUGAGUUUGCCAUGGAAUUAUGUUGACUUAAUAAAAUCUGUUAGAGAUAAUUUUGGGAUAUCAUGUAAUUGGUAUAUGGUAAUCCAUCUAGACCUCUAUAGCUGUAUGUAUAAUUGUAUAUCUUUCCCAGGGAUGAAAUCUUGUAUGAGGAUGGAGAUAAAGAUACGUGGUGUGUGUCAUUAUCCAUAAAAAGUUCACUUGCCUUUCCAACGUUCUGAAAAACUGGUGAAUCUAUUAGUCACCACUGGAGGUGGGAAUAAGCUCCAAUCACAUUGUUGCUGGAAUCUUUUAUUUACUCAUUCAGCAAGGUGCAACUUAAUGAAUGGACUUGAACUUAUUUAUGUGAUGAAGAACCAAGAGAACCAUACAUCACUAUGGAGCAGUGUUUUAAAAGGAGUUUUCUGCGCGAGUCCCAGGGCGAGGUGCACCAAAAACGCCCUGAGGCGAUGGUGUGCGGCGAAGUCUCAAGAGGCAUACGCCCAGCAAUUCGGGGCGUACGCCUGGGCGUUUGAGGCGUAUUUUUUUAGUGAGGCGUAAGCCCUAGAGACUUUUUCAAAUUAAACAAAAUUUGUUGAAUAGUCCUUCAUAUAAUACCCAAAUUCUCAAAUGUCAGCUCGGUAAUUGCUCAAAAUUUUUAAAAAGGAACUGAAAUGUAUUAAAUUUGAAAGUCAAGACCUUUUUUAUUGAUUGAAACCUUAAUUCAUGAUUUUUCCCAAUUCUUAAUCACUAGUCUGCGCCUCUGGGUUUAUGCCUCGCUGAGGCAUAUGUAAUACGCCUCGCCUUACGCUCAUGUCUUCUAAAACAUUGUUGUUAUGGAGUCUCAGUUACUUGAUGAUGCAUUUAUCUUGAUUGGUGCUUAUUGUAGUGAUAUUUCUGUUUGUGUAUAAAUGGAUCUAGAAAAGACCAUUAAAAACACAACUUCUAACAGUAUAAUUUUAGUCGUUUUAAAGUAUAAUCAAUUUUAUUUCUUCUUUUCUGUGUAUUCAGCAGUUCUUUAUGAAAUUUGUA